UUCCCUUUCUGUGCUGCCAGAGGACUCUGUCUUCUCUUUGUGCUUCCAGUGUCUACAGUAUCUGUCCCACAGGAACUGCUCACUAACAUCCACCAAAUAAAUGGAAGAAGCACCCUUGGGGUAGCCAGGCACCAUGCAAGUAACCUGCCAAUCCUGAGCCCACCAUACUGUGAAUGAGUCCAAGCUAGCCACAUGGAAAAGUCUCUGGAGAGAUAGAGAUGCCAGUCUGCUUCACAUCAUUUUAGCCUUCUCAGCUAAGGCACCAGCCUUGUAGAUGAAGUAAACCAAAUAGCUCCUGAACAUUCUUCAAAGUCACCAAAUCUCAUAG